rnacentral:rRNA from 1 species
AAUAUUGGACAAUGGGGGCAACCCUGAUCCAGCCAUGCAGCGUGUGUGAAGAUGGUCUUGGGAUUGUAUAGCACUAUAAGUUGGGAGGAAGGGCUUUAGGCUAAUACCCUGAAUUUAUGAAGUUACAUACAGACUAAUCACCGGCGAACUCUGUGCCACUAGCCGCGGUAAUACAGAGGGUGCAAGCGUUAAUCGGAAUUACUGGGCGUAAAGCUAGUGUAGGUGGUUCAGUAAGAUGGGUGUGAUAUCCCCGGGCUUAACCUGGGAACUGCUUUCAUAACUGCUGAGCUAGAGUACGAUAGAGGGUAGUGGAAUUUCCUGUGUAGCGGGGAAAUGCGUAGAUAUAGGAAGGAACACCAGUGGCGAAGGCGACUACCUGGACUGAUACUGACACUGAGGUGCGAAAGCGUGGGGAGCAAACA